rnacentral:lncRNA from 1 species
UUGGUAUAGAAAGUUGGUGGACCGGAGCUGGCUGUGCCAAUGUUGGUCAUUGUUUUUGAGUAUUUGCCAUGAGCAGAUGCUGGGCUCACACUGGCCCCAGGAGACAGUGCUAGGAUGCCCAUUUUGUAGGUGAGGAAACUGAGGCACAGAGAAGUAAAGUAACUGGCCCAAGGUUACACAGCUGGUAAGAGGCAGAGCCAGGGUUCGAACUGAACCCUCUCUCCACAGCCCAGGUGCUGGAGGGAGAGACAGGAGGGGCAUUGGCAGGAGGGGUACUGGCUUCCUGCCCAUUGCCCCUCUCCCCCUCCCAUAUGAACCAUCAGUGACAAGGGGGAUGGUGGGCAAGAGGCCUGCUCAACCGGGAUGCUGAACACUGCUGCCCAGCAGCCCAGCCAUUCAUCUUCACUGACCACACAGAUGCCAGAGCCAGCCUCUUAGCUCACAGCCAGCAAGGUUAAAAAUACACCCAAACCAUGUUUCCAUUGACUUGGCCCUGAGUUACGGCCUAGGGCCUGUGGCUGCCUCCAGCUCAGAUUCCGGAGGCUGGGCGUGCCAGGCUGGCCGAGGCCACCUCCCGGCCAGAGGGACCAGCUCACCUUCCUGGCCUAUGAAAGGGGCUGACCCGCCCCUCCCUGCAGGCUCAUGGGAGCAUUUCCCAGACACCAGGCCUACAAGAGGCUCCUCCAGCCCUGACCCUGUGGCCAGCAGGGAGCUGGCCAGGCCGAGUGUGAUUCAGGAGAGGAAGAACGGACUUUGGAAUUUGCUGUCGUGUCAGUUCCUCCUCCUCAGCUGGGAAGACCUAAAGAGGGGCCCGGAUGCGGAGACAAAAUCAGAGCCAGAGGGGCCCAGGAGACCCCAGAGAGGGCACCGAGCUUUCUGAAGCCCUCAGGGUGGGACUGAAGAGCCCGCGUGCUGGUGGGUGCAUGGAAGCCAGACCUCAUCCAGCGAGGGGUCAGUGGCGCAACCUCCAGAACUGGGCUGUCCUCUGCAGCAGCCUCUCACCACACAUUCACACUUAAACAAAUGAAAAUGACCUUUAGUAAGAAUUCCACUCCUCCAUCAAAUGAGUCACAUUCUGGGUGCUCAAUGGCCACCUGUGGCUGGUGGCUGUCAUUUGGACAGCACAGAUCUGGAACAUUCCCAUCAACACAGAGAGCUCUGUUGCACAGCUCAGCUCUGGAGGAUGAAUCCUGACUGGGCCAAACCAGUCAGGGAAUCCCACUCCCCAUGGCAAGUGGGGGGUCUGUGGCUGCCUCCUGAUGUACUUCUGAACAACGAUGAAACAUAAGGGAAGGCUGGGAGAGAUGGACCUCCUGGUAUAAAGAGAUAGACGUGAGAGGAGCAGACUCUUAACACAUUGGCUGACCCCCUUGCCUCCAGCCUUUGAAAGCUGUGAGAUGAUGCAAUGACUGGAGAUGAGGCAGCCAUCUUGCAACUAUGAGGCAAAAAGCCUAAGAACAAAAACCAACACACACAGGAUGGAAGGAACCUGGAGCUCCACCAAGCUAUGGAACUAACUGCCUCUGCAGUUUUCUUUCUAUGAAUCCAAUGACUUUAUUACUAAGCCACUGUAGUUGAGGAAUUCUGUCACCUGCUGCUGAAUACUCUCUGAUAAAACUACAAACCAAUACCCACAUUUGGCUCUUAGGCCUUUAGGUGAACUUUUCCCUCUUAGUGAAAUUCUCCCCUUCUCAUUUCUGUUCAGUCUAUCCAUGUGUUAGGGCCCAGAUCAAAGGCUGCCUCCCCCAGGAAGCCUUCCUUGAACAUCUCCCACAAAUCUGGAAGCGAUCACUCCCUCCUCUGCCUUAGAAUUGGUCUCUGUCUUCCAACCCGCAGCACCAGUGAGGGCAGGGUUUACACCUGUCUUCAUGGAGAGUGCCCCAGGCCCUUAGAAACAUGCACACCAAGUAACAGGGGCUCAACUGAUAUUUGGUGAAUAAAAGAAUAGCUUUAUUUCAGCCUCCUCACCAUGCCCUGUACGAUAGGGUUUAUACAAAAGCUUGUGAAAUGGAGCAAGUUUCUCAUGGCUCUCAGAAGUGGGGAAAUCAAAGCAGACCACCUGCCCAGACCUCACACCACACACCCAUGUACCUUCCUGGACAAUUGAGGAGUCAAAUGGAGAUGCAAGGGGGAAAAUUUUAAUUCUAUGCAAAGCCCAUUGACAGAUGAAUGAAUAAGAUGUGGUUGAUACCCACGGUGGAAUAAGAUUCAGCCUUAAAAAGGAAGAACACUCUGAUACGUGCUGCCACAUGGUGAAUCUUGAGGACAUUACGCUAAGGCAUGAAAGGACAAACAUGACUCCACUUAUAUGAGGUCCUCAACUUGUCAAAUUCAGAGAGACAGAGAGUAGAAUGGUGGUUGCCCGGGGAUGGGGGAGAGAUGAGAAGUUGUUUAAUGAGGACAGAGUUUCAGUUUUGCAAGAUGAAAAGAAUUCUGGAGAUGGAUGGUGGUGAUGACUGCAUGCACAACAAUGUGAACGCGCUUAAUGCCGCUGAACUGUGCACUUAAAAAUGGUUAAGAUGGUAGAUUUUAUAUUAUGUGAAUCUUACCACAAUUAAAAAUUUGCUUAAAUGCUAUGUGGAACUGUGAUAUUGUUAAAUAUACGUUUGGUCUUCUUCCCUUUUCCUGGCAUACAACUCCUGAAAUCCUUGGAAUCUCCAAAGUGAUGUCUUCUUGCAUGUGAAUGAUUCACUGAGGGCUGGCAGCCCCUAAGUAGCUUCAGGAUAGGGCUGGUCAGAGGAAAGACCAAGGCAGGAUCAGUCCUGGGAAGAGGAGAGAGAACUGACGGUUAAGUUGAUCACCAGUGACAUUGCAAUCAUAUCAUAUUACAAUCAAUCGUAUCUCCAUAAUGAAGCCUCCGUAACAACAUAAAGGGACAGAUUCAGGGAGCUGAACACAUGAAGGUUCCUAGAGGGCGGUGCUUCCCAGGGAGGGCAUGGAAGUUCCACACCCCUUCCCCAUAACUUACCCUAUGCAUCCCUUCAGCUGUCUCCUUUGACGUAUCUCUUGUGAUAAACCAGUAAAUAUAAGUAAGUGUCUCCCUAAGUUCCGUGAGCCACUCUAGCAAGUUAAACCCAAGGAUGUGGCCAUGGGAACCCCAAUUUCAAGCUAGUUGGCCAGAAGCAGAGGUGAAACAACCUGGGGCUUUUGAUUGACAUUGGAAGUUGGGGAGCAGUCUUGGGGAUUGAGCCCUUGCUACCACACUGGACUGGGGUCUGCUUGCCAAGUGCAGUAAAGCCAAACAUCCACACUGAGGUUUUGCAGCAGGAGAAGAGAGGGCACUUAUUUGCAGGGCACCAAGCAAGGAGAAUGGGGACAGCUCAUACUUGAGACCCAACCUCCCCAGUGGCUUACAAACAAGGCUUCUUAAAGACAGGGGUACAUUUCAGGAAAGCAGAAGUUACAAGUACAAUCAUAAAUCAAUAUACAGGGGCUACACAUUGGUUUGGCCUAAAAACGUGGGAUGUCUUGAAGUGGGUGCACUUCUGGGUCAUAGGUAGAUUCAAAGACUCUCUGAUUUGCCAUUGAUUAAGGAAUCUAGACUUUGUCUAAAAACUUGGGGUCAGCAGAAAGGAAUGUUAAGGUCUGGCCUGUGGAUGUGGCUUCUUUCAGGCCCCUCAGGAAGAAAUGUAGAUCAAAGAACAGCAAGAGGUCAGAGUUCAGUGCUCAGCUCCCCGUUCUCUGGAGUCUAUGUGCCAGCAGACUCCAUGUGGUGGGGGUCCAGGUUUUUGAAAAGCUCAGGGUCGGUGGCCGGUUAGCUCAGUUGGUUAGAGUGUGGUGCUGAAAAACAACUCAGGGACAUACGUGAAGAUCUUAUCUUCAGUUUCUAUAGGGAACCAAACAUCUGACUCUAACUUCCUUGGCUAUUGUUUUAUGUUACUAUUACCUUCUUGCUUAUCAAGCUGCUCAUUUACUUCUCAGGCCUAGCUGGGUACCUGGAAGUUCCCCUGAAAGGACUCAAGAUUUUCCUUUAUCUCCUUGUGUGGGGUAGGGUGGCAGUGCUGGUGUCCCCUUAAGAGGGAGGGGUCUCUGCUCUGUCCCCUCCUCAGCCUGUGGUCCGAUGUUGUCUUCAGAUCGAUGGUGUCAGAACCCAGCUGGUGUCUGCUGCAGAAGUGCUUGCUUGCUGGUGGGGAACAAUCCCCCUACAUUUGGUCAGUGUUCUGUGUUGAUUGUUGAGUGAUAGGAUAGAAAAAGCACUUUGGUUUGGGUUUUUCUAUACCCACAGAGAAAGAUACAUAUUCAAAGAGUUUGUAAAAUGACGGGAUACAGUUUAGACCAGAAUGACUCCAAUAGGCCCACCACCCGCCUGAAGAAACAGCAUUCCAGUCCCGUGGAGGCCCCGAGUGUCCCCACCCAGCUUCAUCUCCCUCUCCUCUCAAAAAAACUCCCUUGCUUUUUACAGUUCUGAAGGUGUAUUCUUAAACAAUAUACAGUUCAAUUUUACUUGGUUUUAACCUCUACAUAAAUGUAACAGAGAAAACACUAAAUCUCUUCUGUGGCUUCCUCUUCUGCCUGGGUAUCUUGGGGUGAGCAUUUUUAUUAUUAUCUGUUAAACUUGCAUGUGUGCCAUGUUCUCUUUGGCGUGUCUCAUACACUUAACAGUUACAAAUAAAUACAUACAGUGCCAAAUGUAAAGUUCAAAGUCUUAAAAAAAAAUAAAGCAGUUUAGGCCAGGCGCGGUGGCUUAUGCCUGUAAUCCCAGCA